UUCCGGUUGAUCCUGCCGGAGGUCACUGCUAUUGGGAUUCGACUAAGCCAUGCGAGUCGAGAGGGUUCGGCCCUCGGCUGACGGCUCAGUAACACGUGGAUAAUCUGCCCUAAGGUGGAGGAUAACCUCGGGAAACUGAGAAUAAUACUCCAUAGGUCUAGGAUGCUGGAAUGCACUUAGGCUUAAAACUCCGGUGCCUUAGGAUGAGUCUGCGGACUAUCAGGUUGUAGUCAGGGUAAUGGCCUGACUAGCCCACGACGGAUAUGGGUUGUGAGAGCAAUAACCCAGAGAUGAUAUCUGAGACACGAUAUCAGGCCCUACGGGGCGCAGCAGGCGCGAAAACUUCACAAUGUGCGAAAGCACGAUGAGGGAAUCCCAAGUGCUUGCACGUAAGUGUAAGCUGUUUCUAUGUUUAAAACGCAUGGAGAGUAAGGGCUGGGUAAGACGGGUGCCAGCCGCCGCGGUAAUACCUGCAGCUCGAGUGGUGGCCACUAUUAUUGGGCCUAAAACGUCCGUAGCCGGUUUAAUAAAUGCCUGGGUAAAUCGUGUAGCUUAACUAUACGAAUUCCGGGUAGACUGUUAAACUUGAGAUCGGGAGAAGUUAGAGGUACUCCUGGGGUAGAGAUGAAAUUCUGUAAUCCUAGGGGGACCACCAGUGGCGAAGGCGUCUGACUAGAACGAGUCUGACGGUGAGGGACGAAGCCCUGGGUCGCAAACCGGAUUAGAUACCCGGGCAGUCCAGGGUGUAAACGCUGCUUGCUUGAUGUUAGUCGGGCUCCGAGCCCGAUUAGUGUCGGAGAGAAGUUGUUAAGCAAGCUGCCUGGGAAGUACGGUCGCAAGGCUGAAACUUAAAGGAAUUGGCGGGGGAGCACAGCAACGGGUGGAGCGUGCGGUUUAAUUGGAUUCAACGCCGGA
rnacentral:rRNA from 1 species